UAAGAGGGCAGGAAUAUACUGUGUGUCCAACAGGGAGGCACUGAUGGGUGCUUUAGGACAGCUCUCCCACUCGCCUGCUGCACAGAUAAGGGGACACAGGGAACAGGCCAGACCUCACCAGGCUUUCCUGUGUCUCAUCUGGGAUUCAUCACAAGCACCACCACAAAAUUAUCUCAGCGGGAAAAGAAAGAAAUGGGAAGAAGUUGAACAGCUGCCUCUGUGCAGCAGGAGCUGUGUGGCUGAGAACCAAGAGAUGAACAGGAGCAGCCUCCCUGCACUGCUGCUGGCCAUGCACAUGGGUGCCAGCAUGCUCCGGCAGUGGUCCAGCUGCUGGCAGAGCACUGGCACACAGAGCACUGGGGAUUUUCUGCAGCUGGGCUUCUCACCAUGGCUGUGACUUUUGGCAUCUUACUGAAAAAGUCUGCAUAACAGGUACCAGGUCAAGACUUGAGAUGAUGGGAAAAAUUCAAGAGGACUGCAAGAUCAAAAUUAAGUCCUCGUAAUUUAUAAUUAAAGAGAAAGAUAAGCCAACACAAAAGCAGUCCUGGAGAUAUAAAUGUUUUUAGGCCACAGCAACAAGAAAAUGGGAAGAAAAGGCUAAAAUGCCACCUGGCAGACAAGUUCUAGGUUAAAAUGAAAACCGUGGGUCCAAUGUCACAUUGCAGGGCUGUAGCGUGAGGCUGCUUUCCUGCACUGCCUUUCAAGCUCACUUUUCUGGGCUUCUCACUCCUAGGCAGCUGCUCACCCCUUUCUGAACUUUGCCACCCAGUAACUUACCAGAGGGAGAAGACAAGUGAUCUGGCUCACACUGUACUGGUAAUGGCAACUUUAAGUUGCAUCAGACAAAGCAGUGACUCCAGAGUGGAUCAGCAGUAGUAGAUCAGCAUCCUGAUAGAGGCACAGAGGAGAAAUAACUGCAAAACCAGCACAGCCUCUGGAGUGAGGGCUUAUGUAUUUCAAACUUGAUCUACUUAAAACAUUAUCCGUAGUGUAUCAGUCAUUUAAUUAUUAUUAUUAUUUUUUAUUUUAUUUCUACACUGAGCAUCAGUGGUAGCUGGUGGCAAGGAGUUUUCUGCCUCUCCAAUUUGUAUAUAAAUAAAAAGCCCUUGAUAUUACCAUAAUAUCUAUAAAUGCAGUGCAGUGGUACUACAGUUGGUUGGGAUGAAAGACUCAUACGAACAAGAGGAAAAGUAAAAGAAAUUUGAGCCUACUAGUGUAUACAUAGCAGAAACACCAUUAAAAUGUAUUACUUGAUUUUAGCGGAAACGCAAAAGCCCCAACUAUUCUUUCAUUGAGCCUCACAAAGCAGGUAAGCAUAAAGUUGUCUGUGGUUUAAAACAAACAAACAGACAAACAAGCUAACAGAGUUACACAUAACUUGUGCUGGAUUUUGUUCCAGAUAUGAUUCCUAGACACUGGCAGUUUCAGUUACCUGAUUCCUCUCUCUGUCACUACAAAUCCAGUUACAUACUUCUAUUUAAAAUGUGCUGUAAUAAAAAGUUUCCUGCCCAUUCUCCUUUGUUGAGAGGAAGAAAUCUUACAAUCAACAACUGUUCACAACCAGAAUUACAGGAGAGAACACCACAUUGCUCACCGAGAGGAUGCAGUGCUACCUUCUUUUUAGUGUACCACUUUUCAGCCACUGGAUGAUGCUGGAUGGAAACAGGAGAAAUUCCAAGACCUCUUUGUCACUGACAGUAAAAUGUAACCUAAGCAAGACAAGCCCUGCCAAUUUCUGCAUGUUUUAAAGUACACCAACCUUUUAAAGUACACAACCAUGUAACACAUGUAUCAGAGAAAAGAAAAGAAACAGAAUAUAUGAAUAGCAACUUUAAGUUAGUUUACCAUGUUUUAACCUCUCACUUUUAUUGUACAACUGUUAAAAAGAGUUUUGUUACUAGGGCCUUUUCUUUUAAUUAGCCGUUUUAAGUGUCUUCUUCCAGUUGGUAAACUUUUGUUUAUCGUCCAUCUACUUCCUUUCUUCCUUGUACUGCAGUGAGGAUUAAAACUUUUGUAACAGAGACUGCCUUGUUCGAGGCUUUGUAUGAGACAGUGCAAUGGGCCUGUGCUGAUGACGUGGGCCUCUGCACGCUGCUAGAACACGUGGUAUGUCAUUUUUCACAGGUGGAACUGAUGUGCAUGUAUUGAACUCUGUGAUGAAAAACUAACUAAUGUUGCCUUCCUUAAUUGGAAGAGUAUUAAUUCAUAGUGAAAGGAAACACUUUCUUCGUUUAUAAAAGUGUUACAGGAAUGUCCUUAGUUAAAAACAGAAAAGCUAAACUUAUGAAAAUAUGGAAUGCUUUUCAAGGAAAAUUACUUUUUUCAAAUUUAGUUUCCUAGAUUUGCUGAGAAUUUUCAUGAAAAGGUUACUGAAGUGGGAGACUAGAAAUCAUUUCUAACACUGAUGGAAACAGAUACUUGCACAGUUGUGCUUCCGGAAGGAACUGGACGGGACAGUGUUUAAGCAUUUCCUAACUGUAUGUAAGAGAUUGUUGUGGAACAAGACUAAACUUAAGGGAAAGGCAUGCCAAGGAACGGAAGGGGAAAGAUUUCUCUUUCUAACCAGAAAAUUAAAGCUUUCCACAUACCUGUCACUUUGGUAACCUCCUGGAAGACAAUUCCUGAGAGCACUGAGAUAAGAACCUCUGAACAGAAAUGUACUGUUAAUACUAUUCUUGCAAUGGAAAUGACAUUAAGUAAAAUGAGUUCUCGUAGGCAGGAAAUUGUUCAAAAUAAAAGUAUUAUUCUUUCUA